AUGAACGCUGGCGGCGUGCCUAAUACAUGCAAGUCGAGCGCACAGACGAGGAGCUUGCUCCUCUGACGUUAGCGGCGGACGGGUGAGUAACACGUGGAUAACCUACCUAUAAGACUGGGAUAACUUCGGGAAACCGGAGCUAAUACCGGAUAAUAUAUUGAACCGCAUGGUUCAAUAGUGAAAGACGGUUUUGCUGUCACUUAUAGAUGGAUCCGCGCCGCAUUAGCUAGUUGGUAAGGUAACGGCUUACCAAGGCAACGAUGCGUGGCCGACCUGAGAGGGUGAUCGGCCACACUGGAACUGAGACACGGUCCAGACUCCUACGGGAGGCAGCAGUAGGGAAUCUUCCGCAAUGGGCGAAAGCCUGACGGAGCAACGCCGCGUGAGUGAUGAAGGUCUUCGGAUCGUAAAACUCUGUUAUUAGGGAAGAACAAAUGUGUAAGUAACUAUGCACGUCUUGACGGUACCUAAUCAGAAAGCCACGGCUAACUACGUG
rnacentral:rRNA from 1 species